UCCACGCUGUAAACGAUGUCGAUUUAGAGGUUGUGGUCUUGAACCGUGGCUUCUGGAGCUAACGCGUUAAAUCGACCGCCUGGGGAGUACGGCCGCAAGGUUAAAACUCAAAUGAAUUGACGGGGGCCCGCACAAGCGGUGGAGCAUGUGGUUUAAUUCGAUGCAACGCGAAGAACCUUACCUACUCUUGACAUCCAGAGAAUCCUUUAGAGAUAGAGGAGUGCCUUCGGGAACUCUGAGACAGGUGCUGCAUGGCUGUCGUCAGCUCGUGUUGUGAAAUGUUGGGUUAAGUCCCGCAACGAGCGCAACCCUUAUCCUUUGUUGCCAGCGCGUGAUGGCGGGAACUCAAAAGGAGACUGCCGGUGAUAAAACC
rnacentral:rRNA from 1 species